UACGGAAGGCAGCAGUGGGGAAUAUUGCACAAUGGGCGAAAGCCUGAUGCAGCUAUGCCGCGUGUAUGAAGAAGGCCUUAGGGUUGUAAAGUACUUUCAUCGGGGAGGAAAAACAAAACUAAUAAUUUUAUUUCUUGACGUUACCCGAAAAAGAAGCACCGGCUAACUCCGUGCCAGCAGCCGCGGUAAUACGGAGGGUGCUAGCGUUAAUCAGAAUUACUGGGCGUAAAGAGCACGUAGGUGGUUUUUUUAAAGUCAGAUGUGAAAUCCCUGGGCUUAACCUAGGAACUGCAUUUUGAAACUGAAAUACUAGAGUAUCGUAGAGGGAGGUAGAAUUCUAGGUGUAGCGGUGAAACUGCGUAGAUAUCUGGAGGAAUACCUGUGGCGAAAGCGGCCUCCUAAACGAAUACUGACACUGAGGUGCGAAAGCGUGGGGAGCAAACAGGGAUUAGAUACC
rnacentral:rRNA from 1 species